UGGGGUAUCGUCUAACGGUAGGACGCGUGGUUCUGGCCCACGUAGUGGAGGUUCGAAUCCUUCUACCCCAGCCA
rnacentral:tRNA from 1 species